rnacentral:misc_RNA from 1 species
UCCGGUUUAUCACCGGCAGUUCCCCAUGAGUCCCCAGCAUUACCUGAUGGCAACUAAGGACAAGGGUUGCGCUCGUUACGGGACUUAACCCAACAUCUCACGACACGAGCUGACGACAGCCAUGCAGCACCUGUCACUGAGCUCCCGAAGGCACCAAUCUAUCUCUAGAAAGUUCUCAGGAUGUCAAGAGUAGGUAAGGUUCUUCGCGUUGCGUCGAAUUAAACCAUAUGCUCCACCGCUUGUGCGGGCCCCCGUCAAUUCAUUUGAGUUUUAACCUUGCGGCCGUACUCCCCAGGCGGUCUACUUAGUGCGUUAGCUGCGCCACCAAAACCUCAAGGGUCCCGACGGGGUCAACUCGGAGGAAGGUGGGGAUGACGUGUCGUUACCUUA